AUCCGGAUGAUGAGUCUCAAAUAGGACGAAAUGCGCAUCCUGAAU
rnacentral:hammerhead_ribozyme from 1 species